rnacentral:rRNA from 1 species
UACGGAGGGUGCAAGCGUUAUCCGGAUUUACUGGGUUUAAAGGGUGCGUAGGUGGGUCUGUAAGUCAGUGGUGAAAUCUCCGAGCUUAACUCGGAAACUGCCAUUGAUACUAUAGAUCUUGAAUUAUCUGGAGGUGAGCGGAAUAUGUCAUGUAGCGGUGAAAUGCUUAGAUAUGACAUAGAACACCAAUCGCGAAGGCAGCUCACUACGGAUUGAUUGACACUGAGGCACGAAAGCGUGGGGAUCAAACAGG